rnacentral:rRNA from 1 species
UACAGAGGUCUCAAGCGUUGUUCGGAUUCAUUGGGCGUAAAGGGUGUGUAGGUGGCGCGCUAAGUCGGGUGUGAAAUUUCGGAGCUUAACUCCGAAACUGCAUUCGAUACUGGCGUGCUUGAGGACUGGAGAGGAGACUGGAAUUCAUGGUGUAGCAGUGAAAUGCGUAGAUAUUGGGAGGAACACCAGUGGCGAAGGCGGCUCACUGGACCGGAACUGACGCUGAGGCGCGAAAGCGUGGGGAGCAAACGGG